UACGUAGGUGACAAGCGUUGUCCGGAUUUACUGGGCGUAAAGAGCGCGCAGGCGGUCGUUCAAGUCGAGUGUGAAAGCCCCCGGCUCAACUGGGGAGGGUCAUUCGAUACUGAUCGACUCGAAGGCAGGAGAGGGAAGUGGAAUUCCCGGUGUAGUGGUGAAAUGCGUAGAUAUCGGGAGGGAACACCAGUGGCGAAGGCGACUUCCUGGCCUGUUCUUGACGCUGAGGCGCGAAAGCUAGGGGAGCAAACGGG
rnacentral:rRNA from 1 species